GAUGAACGCUGGCGGCGUGCCUAAUACAUGCAAGUCGAGCGAACGGACGAGAAGCUUGCUUCUCUGAUGUUAGCGGCGGACGGGUGAGUAACACGUGGAUAACCUACCUAUAAGACUGGGAUAACUUCGGGAAACCGGAGCUAAUACCGGAUAAUAUUUUGAACCGCAUGGUUCAAAAGUGAAAGACGGUCUUGCUGUCACUUAUAGAUGGAUCCGCGCUGCAUUAGCUAGUUGGUAAGGUAACGGCUUACCAAGGCAACGAUGCAUAACCGACCUGAGAGGGUGAUCGGCCACCCUGGACCUGAGACACGGUCCAGACUCCUACGGGAGGCCGCAGUAGGGAAUCUUCCGCAAUGGGCGAAAGCCUGACGGAGCAACGCCGCGUGAGUGAUGAAGGUCUUCGGAUCGUAAAACUCUGUUAUUAGGGAAGAACAUAUGUGUAAGUAACUGUGCACAUCUUGACGGUACCUAAUCAGAAAGCCACGGCUAACUACGUG
rnacentral:rRNA from 1 species